rnacentral:rRNA from 1 species
GACGUAGGGCGCGAGCGUUGUCCGGAUUUAUUGGGCGUAAAGAGCUCGUAGGCGGCCUGUUGCGUCCGCUGUGAAAGCCCGGGGCUUAACCCCGGGUCGGCAGUGGAUACGGGCAGGCUAGAGGUAGGUAGGGGAGAAUGGAAUUCCCGGUGUAGCGGUGAAAUGCGCAGAUAUCGGGAGGAACACCUGUGGCGAAGGCGGCUUUCUGGGCCUUACCUGACGCUGAGACGCGAAAGCGUGGGGAGCGAACCGG